UACAGAGGUCUCAAGCGUUGUUCGGAUUCAUUGGGCGUAAAGGGUGCGUAGGUGGCAUGGUAAGUCGGAUGUGAAAUCCCGGGGCUCAACCCCGGAACUGCAUUCGAUACUGUCAGGCUAGAGUACUGGAGAGGAGAUUGGAAUUUACGGUGUAGCAGUGAAAUGCGUAGAGAUCAUGAGGAAGACCAGUGGCGAAGGCGGGUCUCUGGACAGUUCCUGACACUGAGACACGAAGGCCAGGGGAGCAAACGGG
rnacentral:rRNA from 1 species